rnacentral:rRNA from 1 species
UCAGGAAUAUUGCUCAAUGGGAGAAAUCCUGAAGCAGCAACGCCGCGUGGAGGAUGAAGGGUCUAUGACUUGUAAACUCCUGUAAAGAAGGAAAAAAUUCCCAUUAGAUGGGAGAUGAUGGUACUUCUGGAGUAAGCCCCGGCUAACUACGUGCCAGCAGCCGCGGUAAUACGUAGGGGGCAAGCGUUGUCCGGAUUUACUGGGUGUAAAGGGUGCUCAGGCGGAUUUGUAAGUCAGAGGUGAAAUCUUACAGCUUAACUGUGAAACUGCCUUAGAUACUGCAAGCCUAGAGAAUGGAAGAGAGUGAUGGAAUAUCUGGUGUAGCAGUGAAAUGCGUAGAUAUCAGAUAGAACACCAAUGGCGAAGGCAGUCACUUGGUCCAUUACUGACGCUAAAGCACGAAAGCGUGGGUAGCAAACA